rnacentral:rRNA from 1 species
GAUGAACGCUAGCGGGAGGCCUAACACAUGCAAGCCGAGCGGUAGAGUCUCUUCGGAGACUUGAGAGCGGCGCACGGGUGCGGAACACGUGUGCAACCUGCCUUUAUCUGGGGGAUAGCCUUUCGAAAGGAAGAUUAAUACCCCAUAAUAUACUGGAUGGCAUCAUCUGGUAUUGAAAACUCCGGUGGAUAGAGAUGGGCACGCGCAAGAUUAGAUAGUUGGUGAGGUAACGGCUCACCAAGUCUACGAUCUUUAGGGGGCCUGAGAGGGUGAUCCCCCACACUGGUACUGAGACACGGACCAGACUCCUACGGGAGGCAGCAGUGAGGAAUAUUGGACAAUGGGUGAGAGCCUGAUCCAGCCAUCCCGCGUGAAGGACGACGGCCCUAUGGGUUGUAAACUUCUUUUGUAUAGGGAUAAACCUAGAUACGUGUAUCUAGCUGAAGGUACUAUACGAAUAAGCACCGGCUAACUCCGUGCCAGCAGCCGCGGUAAUACGGAGGGUGCAAGCGUUAUCCGGAUUUAUUGGGUUUAAAGGGUCCGUAGGCUGAUUUGUAAGUCAGUGGUGAAAUCUCACAGCUUAACUGUGAAACUGCCAUUGAUACUGCAAGUCUUGAGUGUUGUUGAAGUAGCUGGAAUAAGUAGUGUAGCGGUGAAAUGCAUAGAUAUUACUUAGAACACCAAUUGCGAAGGCAGGUUACUAAGCAACAACUGACGCUGAUGGACGAAAGCGUGGGGAGCGAACAGGAUUAGAUACCCUGGUAGUCCACGCCGUAAACGAUGCUAACUCGUUUUUGGGUUUUCGGAUUCAGAGACUAAGCGAAAGUGAUAAGUUAGCCACCUGGGGAGUACGAACGCAAGUUUGAAACUCAAAGGAAUUGACGGGGGCCCGCACAAGCGGUGGAUUAUGUGGUUUAAUUCGAUGAUACGCGAGGAACCUUACCAAGGCUUAAAUGGGAAAUGACAGGUUUAGAAAUAGACCUUUCUUCGGACAUUUUUCAUGGUGCUGCAUGGUUGUCGUCAGCUCGUGCCGUGAGGUGUUAGGUUAAGUCCUGCAACGAGCGCAACCCCUGUCACUAGUUGCCAUCAUUAAGUUGGGGACUCUAGUGAGACUGCCUACGCAAGUAGAGAGGAAGGUGGGGAUGACGUCAAAUCAUCACGGCCCUUACGCCUUGGGCCGCACACGUAAUACAAUGGCCGGUACAGAGGGCAGCUACACAGUGAUGUGAUGCAAAUCUCGAAAGCCGGUCUCAGUUCGGAUUGGAGUCUGCAACUCGACUCUAUGAAGCUGGAAUCGCUAGUAAUCGCGCAUCAGCCAUGGCGCGGUGAAUACGUUCCCGGGCCU